GAAGCCAGCAGGACUGCACACACACUUCCGCUAAGCCUGUUUCCCUAAGUCCCCCCAUGCCACUCAAGCGCGUAACUCAGAAGAGAGGCUUCCUUUGCUCCCUACCGAAUCACGUUUUCUUGGGUGGAUGUUAAGACAACGGGCAAAAACGAGCUAAAGUUUGGCAGUCUCCAGCCGUAUGUGGGAAUGCCACACGUGACCUCUGGGUCAUGUUCCAUGGUCAUUUAUUCUACUUCUGGAGGGAGCUAUUAGGAAAUCAAACCCCAGGAAGAUUUGGGACAAGCAUGGCCCUGGGACCCAUGUGCCAGGAAGCUGAUAAGGAUGUUCAGGAUUCUCUCCGUCAGAGCCUACGAGAAGUUCAAACCUCACACACCCCCUGUUCAUGUGCUAGGACCAUCCUCUACCUGUGAGAGCAUCCUGGUUUGACCCCUUCCCCAAGGAAACACUGAUGCUAGACGCUCCCCAUCAGCAGGAUCAGGCUGUGCUGGAGUUCAUCCUGAGAUUGGAUUUUAAUCAUCUCCUUUAUCUUUGGAGCUCCUGACUGCCUCCAGAAUGAUUGAUCUCCUUCCCCAUCAUCUGCCACAGUUCCAGACACCAUGCUUGGCGUCACUGAGAAUGAGCUAAGUCGCUCAGAAGAAUGUCAUUUUGCUCUGGGCAGAGGUUGUUUUAUUGUCUAUUCAGGUAAGAUGCAUAUACAGUGGAGAUGGCUGGGAAAGGCUCAGGGCACAGGUUUUGUCAGCAGAGACCAAACAGGUACUGUGGGUUUAAGGAAUUCACCCAGAGUUGGUCACUCUUUCUAGUGACCGCUUAUCUUUACACUACAGGUGUGCCACACCUGAUCCCUUUCUGUCUGGACUCUUCCCAGAAACAAAACACUGCCAAAUGCUUUCCUCUCAUUGCCUUUUUUUUUCUUGUUUCUUCACUAUCAAAGGGCUAAAAACAAACACCUAAGACCAGGAACACUCAUACCUGCCACUCCUGGUAACUCCCCUGCUCCACACUCCACACCUGCCUUUUCUGUAACUGCCCCUGCCCUGAUCGGCUAGAAUAUUCUAAAUCUACAGACUGCAUUUUGUCUUGUUAACUAGUCUUUCAGAACGAUCCCUAGCCUGUAGUAUUUGGAUUUCGAUGGCCAUGAAGUACCCAGAUCUCAUUAGUAGUCACCAAGGAUUCAACACCUUCAGGUCAGCAUUUGAGUAAAACUUAAAGCCAUGUUUCCCUAGCUUGGGAACACCCCCAAAGACACCUCUGUAGAAUCUGGUUUGAGAAACAACACAUUGAAAGUUAAAUGUUGCUCAUGGAGACAGUACUGCAAUGUCGACAGAACCUUAAACCCUGACAGAAAUGUGGCCCCUGAUAUAUCCUUAAAACGUAUUGUCCAAAUAACUCGUAACAUGAACAUAAAAGCAGCUUGCAUAAAGGAAAAACAUUAAAGGCAGGUCAUCAUGAAUUCCAGAGAAUGGAGCCAUAAAGCUGCACGAUCAUCUUGUACAUUCCAAGAAUCUGAGGUGACCAAGCACCUACAGACUUUUCCUUGUGAACGCUCAGCCUUUUACUAAAGUCUGUUUUCUGGUGUCUCUGUGACCCCCGAAUGACAGAACUCAAAUGUCUCUGACAUGUCAGAUUUUUAAGUUAAGCAUAGGAAAAGAUUUGCUCAUGUCUUCACUGAGACAUCCAGGGGGUACUCACAGCUGUGACCUACAGUUACCCAUGGCCCUAUAUUCCCCAGGGAUUCAUGGGCUGUGACCUAUACUGUGACCUGAGCUCCUACACUUCAAGGGAUCCAGUGGCCAUUGUUCUCUUGAAAGUCUGAAUAGUUUUCACCAGGUGCUGAGCAUUUCCGUUUUGCCCCUCCCCUUAAAAUAUACAAUUAUGGAGACACAUCCCCAUUUACUGCCAGGUGGCUAAGUGACACAAGCCAGGCUGGGAGAAACUGUAGUGAAAACUGGUUCCAUGUGACCAUGGUGCACUGAUAGGAAACUGAAGAUUCGAGGAAGACUCCUCGGGGAAAAAGAAGUGUGAGUCGGGUUAUUAGAGGCUGCCUCUGUGUGAUCCAGUGGCCAAAAUCUGGAGCUGGAUUUUUAAAAAAUAGACUUUAUUCCAAAGAGAGAAAGCAAGGGAGAGACUUGAGAGCUCACUGGCUCUCUAGAAAGUGCAGGAAAAAGCAAUGUAUUGAUAAGAAGCAGAACCCUGCUUCAGAGACUCAGACUCCUGAUCAGAGGAACACCAGUGAUGCGAGAGGUGGGAGUCCUACCCCCAGGACACACUCAUAUACCCCCCCAAAACCUCAAAUCCAGUUGUGAGUCUUGGUGAGGUAGUGACCCCUCGGACAGGCAGUGUUUUCAAUCUGUAAGAUUCAGGGUGCAGUGGCCAGGUGUCACAUUCAGAGAGGAGUUGUGUAAUACAGAACACAAACUGACUGAAGGAUAAAGUCACAUGAUUAGCUCUCAACAGAUGCCAAAACAGUUUUGACAAAGUUUAACAUCCCUUCAUGAUAAGAGAAUAGAAGAAGCAUACUUCGACAUGGUGCGCACACACACACACACACACACACACACACACACACUCACACACACUCACAUAUACACACUCAUACACACACUCACACACACUCACACAUACACACUCACACUCACACACACACACACACUCACACAAAUACAUAUAACAAUCACUGGGCAUCAGCCCACCCUUCUGGACAGAUUUCUACAGAUCGAUGAAAAUGUACUGUCUUGUAGUGAUGCUAUAUAGACAAAUAGGCGAUUUCUUAAUGCUUAAUGAUUAUCCUAUAAGAAUUCCGAAAAUUAUACUAGCAAUUAUUAAGCCCUUUAUAAUAGGACAGCUAUUAAAGCCCUCUCUGACAGGGAAACUGCUUCUGAGAUAAAAUGCAGGCAUUUAUAACUCAGAACACAUUCCAAGAGGUUGUAAAACAAUUAUCCAAAGUUCAUAAAAGGGAACUGACAAUUUAUCGUAGGUGCAAGGAUAGAAAAUAAAAUAUCAACUGUGUUUAUCUUUAGAAAACCUUGAUGUUAACUUAGUCACAGGACUAUGGUGUUAGACUCUCUGUGACUGUGGGGCUAGUGACAGAUAAUGAAUGUCUAGUUAGAUGACUAUUCUUAACGGAAACACAUGCAAACAUCUUUAUUGACAACUUCUUAUUCAAUUAUGACUGGAAUUUACAUUUGAACUUUUUGCGAACUUUUGUAAAGAAAAGGGGGGGUUGCUGCUAGGGAAAAACCAUGCAAUCUAUGUCCCUAGAAAAGGUGCAAAAAGUUAGGAAUGAUGACAUUGCAGGAAUUGCAUUGCAGCAGAAGGAGGGGGGGGACUGGGAGGAGAAAGAAGGAAAAGGACAGAAGAUUAGAGUAACUUAGAAAUUAAAGAGAGCAUACAGCCUGAUAGGCUUCCCCCUCUUUCAUUUUGCCUUGGAAAUAGAGAUUAGAAUCCUUUUAAAAAAUGUCCCCUGACACUUUUACUGAUGCUAUGGUAUGCUUAGAGAUGGGAGCCAGCAUGGCUGCCCUCCGAGAGGCCCAGCAAGCCCUGACAUAGAGAUGUUACUUACAUCCAACGAUGGACUGAAGACAGAGACCCCCAGUGGUUGAAUUAAGGAAAAGCCAGAAAAAGCUGAAGGGGAGGGCAACCCCAUAGGAAGACCGGCAGUCUCAACUAACCUAGACCACGAAGUCUCUCAGAUACUGAGCCACCAAGCAAGCGGCAUACACUAGCUGAUAUGAGGCCCCAGACACAUACACAGCAGAGGACUCCUCGGUCUGGGUUCAGUGAGAGGAGACUCUCCUAAUCCUGGAGAGACUUGAGGCCCCAGGGGGUGGGAGGUCUGGUAGGGUGGGCUGGGGUGGGGUGGGGAGGUUAGGGACAUCCUAUGGGAGACUGGGCUAUGGGGUGUCUUGUGGAUGGGAUGAGGAACUGUCAGAGGGCAGACUGCGAGGGGGAUAACAACUGGACUGUAAAAAAAAGAUUAAAGAUAAUUUUAUUUAUUUAUUUAUUUUCCGGAGCUGGGGACCAACCCAGGGCCUUGUGCUCGCUAGGCAAGCGCUCUACCGCUGAGCUAAAUCCCCAACCCCUAAAGAUAAUUUUAAAAAACGUCUCCAUUCACAGCCCCCUCCUUCUUGUGAGAGAGCAACUUUCCUUAGCUGACAAGGAGGUAAAUAAAUUCUCAGCCUUAGGAAGGACCUCUUUACUUAAUGUCCCCCCAGCCAUCCCAGCCAGCUCUUAAGCACCAGGUGUUAAUUUGACCAGAGAACCACAGCUUCUGGCUUCAGAGUAACUUAGAAUCAAGAAGAUAGGUAAACAUUAUUAUUCAUAAAAAAAAGGAAGCCCUAAUUUCUCACAGGACCAAGUUUUGCCCCUGCCGUGCUCUUUCCUCUAGCUUUAAGAGAGAAUCAGAUCCCAGCAGCUGGCCUCCAAAAAAUGCUUUACCAAAAAUCUCCUAAAAACCAAUAAGCACUUCUAAUGAGUUAUUGGGCUAAGGAAACGAACAUUUUAAAAAAUAAGACUUUUUUUUUUUUUUUAGAAGGGGGAACAAAAAUAUUCAUUGGGAGGAAACACGGAGACAAAGUUUGGAGCAGAGACUGAAGGAACGACCAUUCAGAGACUGCCCUACUGGGGAUCCAGCCCAUAUACAGCCACCAAACCCAGACAAUAUUGCAGAUGCCAAGAAGUGCAUGCUGACAGGAGCCUGAUACAGCUGUCUCCUGAGAGACUCAGCUAAAGCAUGACAAAUACAGAGACAGAUGCUCGAAGCCAAUCAUUGAAGUCUCCACUGGAAGAGUUAGAGAAAGGAAUUGAAGGGGUUUUCAACCCCAUAAAAACAACAAUACCAACCAACCAGAGAUCCCAGGCACUAAACUGCCAUCCAAAGAGUACACAUGGACAGAUGCAUGGCUCCAGCUGCAUCUGUAGCAGAGGAUGACCUUGUUGGGCACCAAUAGGAGGAGAAGCCCUUGGUCCUGCCAAGGCUGAACUCCCCCAGUGUAAGGGAAUGUCAGGGCAGGGA